rnacentral:rRNA from 1 species
CAAUACUUUGGUGGCGACCGGCGCACGGGUGCGUAACGCGUAUGCAACCUACCUUUAACAGGGGCAUAACACUGAGAAAUUGGUACUAAUUCCCCAUAACAUUCGAGAAGGCAUCUUCUUGGGUUAAAAACUCCGGUGGUUAAAGAUGGGCAUGCGUUGUAUUAGCUAGUUGGUGAGGUAACGGCCCACCUAGUCUUCGAUGGAUAGGGGUUCUGAGAGGAAGGUCCCCCACAUUGGAACUGAGACACGGUCCAA